GCUUAUGGCAGCUAUGCGCAGGAGCACUCUCGAGUGCACCGGGUUCCUCGGGCUUCCCCGGACUUCCACACCUGCGCAAAGCUGCCACCCUC
rnacentral:antisense_RNA from 1 species